GUCUCCGUAGCUCAGUAGGUAGAGCAGCAGUCUCAUGGCAUUAUUAGUGUGGUGAUGGUAGCUGAAGGUCGUCAGUUCGAGUCUGACCGGAGACA
rfam:Colletotrichum gloeosporioides Cg-14 contig01824, whole genome shotgun sequence.